AAUUGCUAGUAAUCGCAGAUCAGCAUGCUGCGGUGAAUACGUUCCCGGGCCUUGUACACACCGCCCGUCACACCAUGAGAGUCGAUAACACCCGAAGCCUGUAGUCUAACCAUAAGGGGGACGCAGUCGAAGGUGGGAUUGAUAAUUAGGGUGAAGUCGUAACAAGGUAGC
rnacentral:rRNA from 1 species